GUGAGGAAUAUUGGACAAUGGGCGCAAGCCUGAUCCAGCCAUGCCGCGUGCAGGAAGACGUAUCUAUGGUGUGUAAACUGCUUUUGUACGGGAAGAAACACUCCCUCGUGAGGGAGCUUGACGGUACCGUAAGAAUAAGGAUCGGCUAACUCCGUGCCAGCAGCCGCGGUAAUACGGAGGAUCAAAGCGUUAUCCGGAAUCAUUGGGUUUAAAGGGUCCGUAGGCGGUUUAAUAAGUCAGUGGUGAAAGCCCAUCGCUCAACGAUGGAACGGCCAUUGAUACUUAUAGACUUGAAGUGCAAGGAAGUAAAUAGAAUAUGUAGGGUAGCGGUGAAAUUCUUAGAUAUUACAUAGAAUACCAAUUGCGAAAUCAGGUUACUACGUGUGGAUUGACGCUGAUGGACGAAAGCGUGGGGAGCGAACAGGAUUAGAAUACCGUGUUAUCC
rnacentral:rRNA from 1 species